UACAGGGGGGGGCAAGCGUUGUUCGGAAUUACUGGGCGUAAAGGGCUCGUAGGUGGCCGACUAAGUCAGACGUGAAAUCCCUCAGCUUAACUGGGGAACUGCGUCUGAUACUGGAUGGCUUGAGUUUGGGAGAGGGAUGCGGAAUUCCAGGUGUAGCGGUGAAAUGCGUAGAUAUCUGGAGGAACACCGGUGGCGAAGGCGGCAUCCUGGACCGGCAUUGACGCUGAGGCGCGAAAGCCAGGGGAGCAAACGGG
rnacentral:rRNA from 1 species